UGGGUCGGCAAGACGGUCGCGUCAUUCGUUUGGUUUUCGGAGCAAGCGGGUGCCGAGGAACGUCCGGGCUCCACAGAGCAGGAUGGUGGGUAACACCCACCCGGGGCAACCCGCGAGACAGUGCCACAGAAAGUAGACCGCCUUCGGUGUCGAGCCUUCGGGAACGGCGUCGGAGGUAAGGGUGAAACGGUGGUGUAAGAGACCACCAGAGGCUAGGGUGACCUGGUCGGCUUGGUAAACCUCGUCCGGAGCAAGGUCAGACAGAAAGCGUUGAGGCGGCUCGCCGAGCUUUCGGGUAGACCGCUAGAGGGCUGCGGCAACGUAGUCACGAGAUAGAUGGCCGUCGACGGUGUGCAAACACCUGGACAGAACCCGGCGUACUAGCUGGCCCAUUCC
rnacentral:RNase_P_RNA from 1 species